rnacentral:rRNA from 1 species
CCUACGGGUGGCAGCAGUGAGGAAUAUUGGUCAAUGGGCUUACGCCUGAACCAGCCAAGUCGCGUGAGGGAAGACUGCCCUAUGGGUUGUAAACCUCUUUUGUCAGGGAGCAACGCCGGCUACGUGUAGCCGGACUGAGAGUACCUGAAGAAAAAGCAUCGGCUAACUCCGUGCCAGCAGCCGCGGUAAUACGGAGGAUGCGAGCGUUAUCCGGAUUUAUUGGGUUUAAAGGGUGCGUAGGUGGAAUGCCAAGUCAGCGGUAAAAUCGCGGGGCUCAACCUCGCGCCGCCGUUGAAACUGGCGGUCUUGAGUGGGCGAGAAGUAGGCGGAAGGCGUGGUGUAGCGGUGAAAUGCAUAGAUAUCACGAAGAACUCCGAUUGCGAAGGCAGCAUACCGGCGUCCAACUGACGCUGAAGCACGAAAGCGUGGGUAUCGAACAGGAUUAGAUACCCGUGUAGUC